CCUACGGGAGGCUGCAGUGAGGAAUAUUGGUCAAUGGACGAGAGUCUGAACCAGCCAAGUAGCGUGAAGGAUGACUGCCCUAUGGGUUGUAAACUUCUUUUAUAUGGGAAUAAAAUGUUCCACGUGUGGGAUUUUGUAUGUACCAUAUGAAUAAGGAUCGGCUAACUCCGUGCCAGCAGCCGCGGUAAUACGGAGGAUCCGAGCGUUAUCCGGAUUUAUUGGGUUUAAAGGGAGCGUAGGUGGAUUGUUAAGUCAGUUGUGAAAGUUUGCGGCUCAACCGUAGAAUUGCAGUUGAAACUGGCAGUCUUGAGUGCAGUAGAGGUGGGCGGAAUGCGUGGUGUAGCGGUGAAAUGCUUAGAUAUCACGAAGAACUCCGAUUGCGAAGGCAGUUCACUGGACUGCAACUGACGCUGAGGCUCGAAAGUGUGGGUAUCAAACAGGAUUAGAUACCCUAGUAGUC
rnacentral:rRNA from 1 species